rnacentral:misc_RNA from 1 species
UAUUCAUUCAUCUUAGUCAUCAACAUAGAUGGUUUCUUGUUGAAACAGUCCACCAAAAAUCUUCCUCUUCUCUGUUGAAGCAACCUCUGUUUGUUUAGCUGGUUUCGGAGCCUCCUUCUUCGUUUUCGAAGCAAAUGGUUUCCUUGGAGGAGUUUUCACCACUGCUUUCUGAGCAGGCAAAUUUUUAGCCUUGGCCUGUCCCCUUACCUACACAACCAGACUG